rnacentral:rRNA from 1 species
AUUGAACGCUGGCGGCAUGCCUUACACAUGCAAGUCGAACGGCAGCACGGGUGCUUGCACCUGGUGGCGAGUGGCGAACGGGUGAGUAAUACAUCGGAACAUGUCCUGUAGUGGGGGAUAGCCCGGCGAAAGCCGGAUUAAUACCGCAUGCGAUCUACGGAUGAAAGCGGGGGACCUUCGGGCCUCGCGCUAUAGGGUUGGCCGAUGGCUGAUUAGCUAGUUGGUGGGGUAAAGGCCUACCAAGGCGACGAUCAGUAGCUGGUCUGAGAGGACGACCAGCCACACUGGGACUGAGACACGGCCCAGACUCCUACGGGAGGCAGCAGUGGGGAAUUUUGGACAAUGGGCGAAAGCCUGAUCCAGCAAUGCCGCGUGUGUGAAGAGGGCCUUCGGGUUGUAAAGCACUUUUGUCCGGAAAGAAAUCCUUGGCCCUAAUACGGUCGGGGGAUGACGGUACCGGAAGAAUAAGCACCGGCUAACUACGUG